UACGUAGGUCCCGAGCGUUGUCCGGAUUUAUUGGGCGUAAAGCGAGCGCAGGUGGUUUAUUAAGUCUGGUGUAAAAGGCAGUGACUCAACCAUUGUAUGCAUUGGAAACUGGUAGACUUGAGUGCAGGAGAGGAGAGUGGAAUUCCAUGUGUAGCGGUGAAAUGCGUAGAUAUACGGAGGAACACCGGUGGCGAAAGCGGCUCUCUGGCCUGUAACUGACACUGAGGCUCGAAAGCGUGGGGAGCAAACAGG
rnacentral:rRNA from 1 species